rnacentral:rRNA from 1 species
CGGGACACGUGGUAUCCUGUCUGAAUAUGGGGGGACCAUCCUCCAAGGCUAAAUACUCCUGACUGACCGAUAGUGAACCAGUACCGUGAGGGAAAGGCGAAAAGAACCCCGGCGAGGGGAGUGAAAAAGAACCUGAAACCGUGUACGUACAAGCAGUGGGAGCCUCUUAAUGGGGUGACUGCGUACCUUUUGUAUAAUGGGUCAGCGACUUAUAUUCUGUAGCAAGGUUAACCGAAUAGGGGAGCCGAAGGGAAACCGAGUCUUAACUGGGCGUUAAGUUGCAGGGUAUAGACCCGAAACCCGGUGAUCUAGCCAUGGGCAGGUUGAAGGUUGGGUAACACUAACUGGAGGACCGAACCGACUAAUGUUGAAAAAUUAGCGGAUGACUUGUGGCUGGGGGUGAAAGGCCAAUCAAACCGGGAGAUAGCUGGUUCUCCCCGAAAGCUAUUUAGGUAGCGCCUCGUGAAUUCAUCUCCGGGGGUAGAGCACUGUUUCGGCAAGGGGGUCAUCCCGACUUACCAACCCGAUGCAAACUGCGAAUACCGGAGAAUGUUAUCACGGGAGACACACGGCGGGUGCUAACGUCCGUCGUGAAGAGGGAAACAACCCAGACCGCCAGCUAAGGUCCCAAAGUCAUGGUUAAGUGGGAAACGAUGUGGGAAGGCCCAGACAGCCAGGAUGUUGGCUUAGAAGCAGCCAUCAUUUAAAGAAAGCGUAAUAGCUCACUGGUCGAGUCGGCCUGCGCGGAAGAUGUAACGGGGCUAAACCAUGCACCGAAGCUGCGGCAGCGACACUAUGUGUUGUUGGGUAGGGGAGCGUUCUGUAAGCCUGUGAAGGUGUACUGUGAGGUAUGCUGGAGGUAUCAGAAGUGCGAAUGCUGACAUAAGUAACGAUAAAGCGGGUGAAAAGCCCGCUCGCCGGAAGACCAAGGGUUCCUGUCCAACGUUAAUCGGGGCAGGGUGAGUCGACCCCUAAGGCGAGGCCGAAAGGCGUAGUCGAUGGGAAACAGGUUAAUAUUCCUGUACUU